rnacentral:tRNA from 1 species
GCGCGCGUAGCUCAAUGGAUAGAGCAUCGGUCUACGGAACCGAAGGUUACAGGUUCGAGUCCUGUCGCGCGUG